ensembl:lncRNA
UAAUGACACCAUGAACCAGAACAGCAGCAGAUGAGAAUUAGGCUGUGGGUCCUAAAUACCUCAUAUGUCAAGGACAAAAGGAACGUGUUGUUCUUCUGAUGGAUAUAUCAUUUCAGAGGCAGAGUGUCCAGGACUUCAGAGAAGGUAAUAAUAUCUCCAGAGAGGCACUUCUCUUGUAUGGCUGAAGAUUUACACCCUCCCAAGAUUGAUGGUUUUCCUAGGUCUUGGUUAAUGCCUUGUCCUCAUGGAAGAUGCUAGAAGACCGACAUUGCCCGGCCUGGAGGGGAGCACUGCUUCCUUGGCAGAUGUCUUAAGACACAUAGAGGUUGUUUGAAACUGAAGCAUGUCUUUAUCCUCUGAAACUGAGAAGAACAAAUGCAACUUUAUGGUUCUUAUCACAUGUUAACAAUUAGUUUAUACUUACUGGAAUGAAUUGUCAUAACGGACGCAAGAGAGGGUACUUUAUAUGCUUCGUGGGACACCACUGAAAGAUCUGCAGCCUUCUCAGUCAUAUUCUAUGAUUCUAUGAUAUUCAAGGAACUCUGUCCAAAGGCCAAGAGAUGCUGAUUGAAAGAACCAUUUUGCCUGCCAGUUCUCAGAAGUAAAAAAGGUUGCAAUUCACAUCUUAUCUUUC